CAUUAGAGAAUGGAUAAAACCGGGUACCACUAUAAUAUCGGAUUGUUGGAAAUCGUAUGAUAAACCAGAGGAACACAAUGAUUACAAGCAUCUCAAGGUAAAUCAUAGGUUACAUUUAAAGAUCCAGACACUGGCGCACAUACCAAUCAGAUUGAGGGUCUUUCGAACUUAGCAAAAAAAAGUAUGCCACAAACAAAUCGUAACAAACAAAUGAUUAGUAGCUAUUUGGCAACAUUUAUGCUUCAUCAAAAAUGGCAAGGAAUCGAUGGGUUUUUAAUGUUUAUGCAAUACGCAGCAAAAUUGUAUGGAUAUGGAGUCAAGAGAUUGAACAAACUGCAUCAACAUCAACAAAGCGCGCAAAAAAUAAUUAAUUUUUUUUUUGAUUAUUCGAUUAUGUUACAAACGAAAUUUAAUUGUAAAGCCAAUAUUCUGCUGAUCAAUGUU
rnacentral:lncRNA from 1 species